ACUAGAAUUACUCUUGAUGUGAUAGCUUCCUUCCAUUACUUAUUGUCGAUUUACUGACACGUUUUUUUCAGCUUAUUCUAUGGCUGGGCAGCAGGAGACGCAAGACGCUUGAAUGAAACAUAUCACACACUUAAUUUAAAGGUUAUGUUUAUGGGCUAGAUUUGCUGUCAGCCGAUGCUCUUGCUGUUCGUACCAAUAAAAUCGAAUCUGGUUUUUUGGGGUGCAUUUUUUAUUAGCCCUCCCUUUCUGUUUUCGAUCGCACUCUCACCACUUGCUCAUUUGACGUUUGACAUUCUCACCACCCGCUCGUCGGUUAGUUGAAAUAUUUAUUAACAUAAUAAAACAGUUCCUUCUUGAUGGUAAGUGGCGAACGCAUUCUGUUGGUUUGGUUUUGAUUCCGAAUUUUUCUUCGGUUUUUUUUCUCAAGGUACUCGCAGCGAUGAAUGAAGAAAAAUAUCUGACAAAUUGUCCAGCGUUUGGAAGAUUUAUUGCGAAAAGCUCUUCGAAAUUCCCGGAGGUGUUUAUGCGACUCAAAGGCAAGUGCGGGCUAAACCCUAUUUCAUGUGAAUCUCUGCUGCAAGAGAGAACCUAAAUUUGGUACAAAUAUUUCCAACAGUGCAACUGUAGUGACUACCAGUAUGGGUUUGCUUCAGUCAGCAGUGGCCUUCAACAUCGUAGUGAUGACAACACUGACUGGCUUCUGGCUAGUUUUACGAUCGCUGCCUCGGCAGACCAACGCCAGUGCAAUAACAGUAAUUAAACAUAAUCACAUUGUCGCAGCAGCAUCAGUCCCAACCUCUAUGUUGGCUCGAUGUGACUGGCCUAUGUGUAGAUAUCAUUCAGCUCGAUAUGAAUCAUUGCGCUCCCCUAGUGUAGCGAAAACAUGCAGAACAUAUGAACUAACUAGGGUAUCAUCAAACAUCAUCAUCUGGGUAGUAGGGGGAGAAGAAAAGUGUCGUUCUCAUCAUGAAAUUGAAGAACAAAUUUGUGGAGUGUUUUUGGGACAAGUGUUGUUUGCUAUCUGUAAACUUCAGCUAUAUUUUUGAUUGAUUCCAGUGUCCCACUUUCGAUAAUCUACUGUAGAUGAUCAUACAAUAAAUAGUGUUAUUGUGAACGCAACAGUUCAAGCCUUAAUCAACCAAUUUGUUCUGUUAAAACGCACACAGAUUGCUCUGGCUUUGCAAAAAAAUUGUGUUUAAUGCAUGAAGCAACAGUUGUAUAUUCAUUGUACAACUACAUUGUACAACAUUGACAGAUAUAGAAAUCAGGUUAUGUAUCAUACACACAAAAAACGGUAAACUUCGGUUUCGGGCGAAUGAUCAGUUUU